rnacentral:rRNA from 1 species
GUCGAGAAUCUUUCACAAUGGGGGCAACCCUGAUGGAGCGACGCCGCGUGGAGGAUAAGGUCUUCGGAUUGUAAACUCCUGUCAUGCGAGAACAAGGUUGCAGGGCUAACACCGCUGCAAAUUGAUGGUACCGCAAGAGGAAGAGACGGCUAACUCUGUGCCAGCAGCCGCGGUAAUACAGAGGUCUCAAGCGUUGUUCGGAAUCACUGGGCGUAAAGGGUGCGUAGGCUGCGCCGUAAGUCAGAUGUGAAAGCCCGGGGCUCAACCCCGGAAUUGCAUCCGAUACUGCGGUGCUCGAGUGCUGGAGAGGAGGCUAGAAUUCACGGUGUAGCAGUGAAAUGCGUAGAUAUCGUGAGGAAUACCAAAGGCGUAGGCAGGCCUCUGGACAGCAACUGACGCUGAGGCACGAAGGCCAGGGUAGCGAACGGGAUUAGAAACCCGUGUAGUCC